rnacentral:rRNA from 1 species
GAUGAACGCUGGCGGCGUGCCUAAUACAUGCAAGUCGAGCGAACGGACGAGAAGCUUGCUUUUCUGAUGUUAGCGGCGGACGGGUGAGUAACACGUGGAUAACCUACCUAUAAGACUGGGAUAACUUCGGAAACCGGAGCUAAUACCGGAUAAUAUUUUGAACCGCAUGGUUCAAAAGUGAAAGACGGUCUUGCUGUCACUUAUAGAUGGAUCCGCGCUGCAUUAGCUAGUUGGUAAGGUAACGGCUUACCAAGGCAACGAUGCAUAGCCGACCUGAGAGGGUGAUCGGCCACACUGGAACUGAGACACGGUCCAGACUCCUACGGGAGGCAGCAGUAGGGAAUCUUCCGCAAUGGGCGAAAGCCUGACGGAGCAACGCCGCGUGAGUGAUGAAGGUCUUCGGAUCGUAAAACUCUGUUAUUAGGGAAGAACAUAUGUGUAAGUAACUGUGCGCAUCUUGACGGUACCUAAUCAGAAAGCCACGGCUAACUACGUG